rnacentral:rRNA from 1 species
AACAAAGUGAAUUGAAAUAUCUUAAUAACUUUAGGAAAAAAAAUCAAACGAGAUUUUAUUAUUAGUGCAAACUAAUAUAAAAAAGCUUACAAGUAAAAUGGAAAAUAUCUGUUUGAAUAUAGGGGAACCUUCCUCUAAAGCUAAAUAUAAUAUAUAAGCGAUAGCGUAUAGUACCGUGAGGUAUAGAUAUAAAUAGUAGUUUUAUAAGCUGCUCAAAAAAAUAUUUAAAUAAAUAAUACGAGCGAACCUUUUGCAUAAUGGGUCAGCAAGUUAAAUUUAGAUGCAAGCAAAUAAAAAUUAUUUGCCUAGAUAAACCAAUUAUGAAAAAAUGAUAAGUAUCUAAAUUUAGACCCGAAGGCUAGUGAUCUUACCAUGAUCAGGCUUAAGGCCGAACGGGUUAUCGUUGUAAAGAUAUCCGAUGAAUUGUGGUAAGUUGGUGAAAGACAAAACUGACUAGUAUAGCUGGUUUUCCGCGAAACCUAUGUGAGUAGGUAAUUUAAUUAACAUCUUAGCAGGUACAGAACUAGGAUCUCGGACAAUAUGUAAAUUUUGUGCACAUCGGGGGAUCGUGAUGAUUUUAUCGGAGAGUAUUUGCACUCGAAAGGGCAAAGAUGAUUAUUGAAUAAUCGGACAUAGUACGAUAAGGUUGUAUGUCUAAAGGGAAACAGCCCUGAACAAGAGUUAUAAGGUUCCAAAAUUAUUAUUAAGUGAAAUUAAGGAUGUACUUAUCAAAUACAAUCAGGAAAUAGGCUUAGAAGCGGCCAUUUUUUGAAGACCUCGUAACAGAGCACUGGUUAAUAAAAUUUUUUUAGAUAGAUAUGUAUACCGAAAAUUUAACGGAUCUAAAUAAUAUACCGAAACCUUGUUCGUAUAUAUUAAUAUAGAAUAAUAUUUACUAGUUUAAAUAUAUAUAUAUAUAUAUGAGGUAGCGGAACAUUGGAUAAAUAUUAGAUUUUUUCUUUUUUUAAGUAAAAAAAAUUAUAUAAUAAUCCAAGAGAGAAUGCUGGCAUGAGUAACGAAAAAGGAUAAUAUCCUCGCCUUAAGCUUAUGGUAUUUUAAUUAAAUUUCGGUGUCUAAGAAAACUUCUUUUUUUAUCCGAAUGGAUUUUUUCGAUGAUAUUAUACCAGUAUGGCGAUUAAAGAAAAAAACCUUUAUAAAGUGUUAAAGGUUCUGGAAAAACUAUAAUCGGGAGCAGCCGGGUUAUUGGGAGAAAGAGGUGAGGAAGAACUAGUCCAAGUUUAAACCAGUGAUGGUUUAUAUUUUUUAGUACCUAAACACUAACAGAAGUUAGUACCUAAAGACUAGUUAUAACCCGUGUAUGUUUUUAACCGUACCUAAAUACUAACACAAGUAAGCAAGUAGAGUAUACAAAGGCGUUUGAGCGAACAAUCCUUAAGGAACUCGGCAAAUUGACUCCGUAACUUCGGGAUAAGGAGGGCCAUUAUUAUAGAAAAAUUUUUUUCUGUCGAAUAAGAGGAAACAUUGUAGUAGGGCGGGGGCUCCGAAAUUUAGGCGUAGGAGUACUCUGAGGAAACAUUGUAGUACGGCGGGUCUCCUUAUACUAUGGUAUAAGGAGAGCCGUUUAGAAAAAAUUUUUUUCUGUUGAAUAAGAGGAAACAUAAAAUAAUGUUGUACGACUGUUUAAUUAAAACAAAUCACUCUGCAAAGAUUAAAAAUCAAAGUAUUGAGUGUGAUGUCUGCCCAAUGUCGGUUGUAUAACUGAGAUGCUUAAUUUAAAAGGUUAAGUUUUGAAGGACACCCCGAUCAAUGGCGGUCUUAUCUAUAAGGAUCCUAAGGUAGCGGAAUACCUUGGCCGUUAAAUGCGGUCUUGCAUGAAUGACUUAACGAUACAACAGCUGUCUCGAGGAUUGGCUCAGUGAAAUUGGAAUAGCAGUGCAGAUACUGCUUAACUCUAGGUAGACGAGAAGACCCUAUGCAGCUUUACUGUUACCUUUUAUGAAUAUAGUAAGUCAAUUGUGAGUGUAUAAGGUAAUUGUUAUAUGAAAUUGAAACACCUUUAUUUAAACUAUUAUAUUCUUUAUGACUGGAAGACAGUUUAUGCGGGGCACAGAUCCCAUAAAAAGUACCUGGGUAUAUCCAAAGUUAAUAAUGUAAGUUUGUAAAUUUUAAUUUACAGUAAUAAUAUAUUUAUAUUUAUAAAUUAUUAUUAUUUAGUUUGUUAUUAAUUAUAUUUUAUAUUUAUUCAGUUAUUAUAGUAUUAAAUUCGAAUUUUAUAAAAUUUAAGUAAGAUUUUAACUAUAUGGUAAAUAGAUGUAUAUUAAAUACUAAUAAAUUAAGUUGUAUUAGUAUUUUAUUUAUAUUAAUAUUGUAUAUUUAAAUCCUUAUUAAUAUGAUAAUUAUUUAUACUUUAAAAGUUUAAUGGCUAAAUCUUGCUUUACUGUUUGACUUACAAGUCUAUCAGUCGCGUAAGCGGGGCAUAUGAUCACAAGAUGCAAAAAGGAAAGGUCUUGGAUUAAAGAAAAAGUUACGCUAGGGAUUUUUGUUAGUCCCCCUGUAUUUUAAAAUACUGGUAAUAAUUUGGGUAAACAGGCUAAUUUGCGCAAGAGAGUACAAAUUGAGUGCGCGGUUUGGCACCUCGAUGUCGGCUUAGCUCAUCCACAUGAAUGCAGAAAUCAUGAAGGGUACGACUGUUCGUCGGUUAAAGAGCUACACGAGCUGGGUUUAUUAUUAAGCUCCUUUCUUAUUAGAUAAGAAAGAUAACCAGGUGAAAUGCAAAUACAUAUUAAAUUUAGAUAUUAAUACAAUUUGCAGCGAAGCUUAAAUAUAAGAACGUUCAACGACUUAAGGUUUAAUCCUUACAAGAGUUCCUGGGUUACGAUUACAAUAUAAUAAAAAUAUUAAAAAUAAAUUUUUAUUUUUAAUAUUAGUAUAAUAAUUACUUUAUAAGUAGUGAAAGUUAUAAUUUCGCUUGCUACAAAUUUU